rnacentral:rRNA from 1 species
UACGUAGGGGGCAAGCGUUGUCCGGAUUUAUUGGGCGUAAAGAGCUCGUAGGUGGUUCGGUAAGUCGGAUGUGAAAUCUCCAGGCUCAACCUGGAGGGUCAUUCGAUAUUGCCGUGACUAGAGUUCGGUAGGGGAGUGUGGAAUUCCUGGUGGAGCGGUGAAAUGCGCAGAUAUCAGGAGGAACACCCGUAGCGAAGGCGGCACUCUGGGCCGAUACUGACACUGAGGAGCGAAAGCAUGGGGAGCGAACAGG